rnacentral:rRNA from 1 species
AACGAACGCUGGCGGCGUGCCUAACACAUGCAAGUCGAGCGGGAACGGCGCCUUCGGGUGCCUAGUACAGCGGCGCACGGGUGAGUAAUACGUAGGUGACCUACCUCUUGCUGGGGAACAACCCCGGGAAACCGAGGCUAAUUCCGCAUAAGCCCUCCGAAUCACGGUUCGCCGGGGAAAGGUGGCCUCUCCAUGGAAGCUAUCGGCAAGAGAUAGGCCCGCGUCCCAUCAGCUAGUUGGUAAGGUAACGGCCUACCAAGGCUACAACGGGUAGCUGGUCUGGGAGGAUGAUCAGCCACACUGAAACUGAGACACGGUCCAGACUCCUACGGGAGGCAGCAGUGGGGAAUAUUGCGCAAUGGGCGAAAGCUUGACGCAGCAACGCCGCGUGAGUGAUGAAGGCCUUCGGGUCGUAAAGCUCUGUCGGGAGGAACGAAUACCCGCCGGGAACAAUACCCCUGCGGAAUGACGGUACCUCCAAAGGAAGCACCGGCUAACUCCGUGCCAGCAGCCGCCGUAA